UACGUAGGGUGCGAGCGUUAAUCGGAAUUACUGGGCGUAAAGUGUGCGCAGGCGGCCGCGCAAGUCGAGUGUGAAAGCCCCGGGCUUAACUUGGGAAUUGCGCUCGAAACUACGUGGCUGGAGUGUGGCAGAGGAAGGUGGAAUUCCAGGUGUAGCGGUGAAAUGCGUAGAUAUCUGGAGGAACACCGGUGGCGAAGGCGGCAUCCUGGACCGGUAUUGACGCUGAGGAGCGAAAGCCAGGGGAGCAAACGGG
rnacentral:rRNA from 1 species